CUUGGCUCUUCCUUUCAAGAAUGUCAUGAGCUGGGGAAAGGUCCUUCGCUUCCAUGCAUCUGAUUUCCUUUGGUUUAAAUAAGGCUAAUGGUGUUGGUGGGAGGCUAGGUGGGAUGUGUAAGAUCCGGGCUCUGAGGCUGCAUGUGAUGACAAGCAGCUGCUGAUAUGACCCGGGCAGAUACUGCUCCCAUUAGCAGCCAUUCUUGAGCACAAUUUGUGCCAAUACUACACUAUUAGUAUUACUAUUUUUCACAUUUAAUUCUUAGUAAUCAUUUCCUGUUUAAUCUCAUGUAAUUGGUAUUAAAGCCUUGUGGUUACUCUUGUUUUAAGAUGAUCAGGCGUCAUUGGAUGCUUAAAGGAAACAGGAGUAACUGUCCAUUAGAUGUCGUAAAUUUCCCCUGAAAUCCGCUGCCUGGAGACUGAGCCUUUCUGGCCAGGUAACAGAAAAAGGUUUAGGAAAGAGUUUAGUUUAGGUUUAGGUUUAGGUCAGAAACUAGAAGCUCCGAGGCAAAAAAUCAAGGCGUGUGUGAAAAAUUAGUUUGGUCCUAUGUGAAACGAGAAUGAAUAAGAAUAAAGCAUAGGAAGAGUAAAUCUGUAAGUGCCGAUAAGUUUCGUCAACAAUAUCCAGAAGCCACUAAUUGGUUAAAUCGAUGCCUUGCUUUA
rnacentral:lncRNA from 1 species